rnacentral:tRNA from 5 species
GCGCCAGUAGCUCAGUGGAUUAGAGCGUCGCCCUGCGGAGGCGAAGGUCGCAGGUUCGAGUCCUGCCUGGCGCG